GAUGAAGAACGUAGCGAAAUGCGAUACUUGGUGUGAAUUGCAGAAUCCCGUGAACCAUCGAGUCUUUGAACGCAAGUUGCGCCCGAAGCCAUUAGGCCGAGGGCACGCCUGCCUGGGCGUCACACGUCGUUGCCCCCCCAUCUACUCCUUCGGGAUUGCGGGGGGCGGAUGAUGGCCUCCCGUGCGCCUCGUCGCGCGGUUGGCAUAAAUGCCAAGUCCUCGGCGACGCACGCCACGACAAGCGGUGGUUGCGAAACCUCGGUUGCCCGUCGUGUGCGGUCGUCGCGCAUCGAGGGCUCGAAAAAAUUGCCGGGCUCCGGCUCGGCUUUCAACGCGACCCCAGGUCAGGCGGGGUUACCCGCUGAAUUUAAGCAUAUCAUAAGCGGAGGA
rnacentral:misc_RNA from 1 species